UUACGGCUAGGUCUACGAGGAGUAGGUUUUGACGUCCUGGCUACGAGGAACGACGCUGGCGGCGUGCUUAACACAUGCAAGUCGUACGCUGAAGCCCGCGCUUGCGUGGGUGGAUGAGUGGCGAACGGGUGAGUAACACGUGGGUAAUCUGCCUUGGUACUCUGGGAUAAGCCUGGGAAACUGGGUCUAAUACCGGAUAGGACCAUUCCUCGCAUACGGGGGGUGGUGGAAAGCUCCGGCGGUAUGAGUUGAGCCCGCGGCCUAUCAGCUUGUUGGUCGGGGUGAUGGCCUACCAAGGCGGUGACGGGUAGCCGGCCUGAGAGGGCGACCGGCCACACUGGGACUGAGACACGGCCCAGACUCCGUACGGGAGGCAGCAGUGGGGAAUAUUGCACAAUGGGCGCAAGCCUGAUGCAGCGACGCCGCGUGAGGGAUGACGGCCUUCGGGUUGUAAACCUCUUUCGCCAGGGACGAAGGGUGAUACUGACGGUACCUGGAGAAGAAGCACCGGCUAACUACGUG
rnacentral:rRNA from 1 species